rnacentral:rRNA from 1 species
AUUGAACGCUGGCGGCAGGCCUAACACAUGCAAGUCGAGCGAGCGGCGGACGGGUGAGUAAUGUAUGGGGACUGCCCGAUAGAGGGGGAUAACUACUGGAAACGGUGGCUACUCCCGCAUACUAUCGGAUAACCCAUAUGGGAUUAGCUAGUAGGGGGGGUAAAGGCUCACCUAGGCGACGAUCUCUAGCUGGUCUGAGAGGAUGAUCAGCAAAACUGGGACUAGGACACGGCCCAGACCCCUAGGGAGGCAGCAGUGGGGAAUAUUGCACAAUGGGCGCAAGCCUGAUGCAGCCAUGCGGGGUGUAUGAAGAAGGCCUUAGGGUUGUAAAGAACUUUAGGCGGGGAGGCGUUACCCGCAGAAGAAGCACCGGCUAACUCCGUGCCAGCAGCCGCGUAAUUC